UUGUGUGGGCGUGAGCAUUAGCUGCUCUAACCCCACACAUCCUGUCUUCUCAGUCUGAGAGGCGUCAGCAGAGGAACAUUCAUGCAGCGUCUCCCUGAGCACAGGACUGACUGUCUCUCUCCUUCACAGGAAGUGUCCUCUCUGAGGAGCUGCCCUCUGGGUAUGAAGAUGUGGAAGACAGUGAGGGAGACCCUCUCUCAGGCUCAGGGUUGAUGGUGACAGGAGACACAGCAGAGGACUAUGAUGAUGUUGAGGGUAUAGAGCAGAGCCCACAUGUUUUACAGGGUGAGAGAGCUUUGACCACACUGCCCCCUGGGGAUGCCCCCCCAUACCCAGCCAGACUGACUACGAUGAUGUGGGGGAGGAGGGACUGACAGUCCUGCCUGAGGAAGCUCCUUCGACAAGCUUUAAAUAAAAGGGGCAAAUCAGCUUCAUAUUUUAUACAGGCAUUAACACUAGUUCAGUUCUUCUGAAUUCAACUCUUUGUGUUUUUGCGAUGGACAAAGUCCUUUAUUAGUGACCAUAUCCUUGUAUUGUUAUUCAUGGAAAAUGAAAUAAACAU